rnacentral:rRNA from 1 species
UACAGAGGUCUCAAGCGUUGUUCGGAUUCAUUGGGCGUAAAGGGCGCGUAGGCGGCAAUUCAAGUCAGCUGUGAAAUCUCCGGGCUUAACUCGGAACGGUCAGCUGAUACUGCUUUGCUAGAGUGCAGAAGGGGCAAUCGGAAUUCUUGGUGUAGCGGUGAAAUGCGUAGAUAUCAAGAGGAACACCUGAGGUGAAGACGGGUUGCUGGGCUGACACUGACGCUGAGGCGCGAAAGCCAGGGUAGCAAACGGG